GCAAACUUGGUCAUUUAGAGGAAGUAAAAGUCGUAACAAGGUUUCCGUAGGUGAACCUGCGGAAGGAUCAUUAUUGAAAGAAGACGUCGGGGAUGUUGCUGGCACUGCGGUGCAAAAAAAAGUGCACUCCCUGGCGGAUCAACUUUCUUCAAACCUUUUGUGCACUUGCUUGUAGCGUGUGGUUAGGGGUCCGGACUUGGCGUCUGAAACCCCCCCUCCUCACUCUAUGUAUCCCCAUUUUUAAUUCAUGCUCGAAUGUACCAUGAAUGUAGAACCCGCUUAUCCGGGGCCUAACCACGGCUCCUGAUUCGAAAUAAAUUUACACAACUUUCAACAAUGGAUCUCUUGGCUCUCGCAUCGAUGAAGAACGCAGC
rnacentral:misc_RNA from 1 species